rfam:Oryza barthii chromosome 7, whole genome shotgun sequence.
AAUAAGUGCAGUUUUACGCUAUUCAUGUUUAACGUUUGACCGUUCGUUUUAUUUUAAUUUUUUUAUGAUUAGUAUUUUUAUUGCUAUUAGAUGAUAAAACAUGAAUAGCACUUUUGUGUGACUAUUUUUUUUUUAUUUUUUUCACAUUUUUUUCAAAUAAGACAAACGGUCAAACUGAACACGGAUAUCCACGGCUGCACUUAUU